GUCCUGGGUCCGCACCUCACAGCUUCAGGUGGAGUGCACCUUGCUCCCAGAAGUUGGGACAGGCCUAACUGCACUGGUUUUGGAGUCCGGCAACGGGGUUCGCAUCUUGCCUCUUACUAAGGAAACCUGAGCAAGAUACAGUGCCAUCUCGGGCCUCGGUUUCUCUCCUGUAAAUGGGGAUGAUAGAAUCUACCUCGUAGGACCCUGAUGAGGAUGCAAUGAGAUGAUGUAUUUGGACAGUACUCAGAUUAAGAAAUUCAAAGAGGUAUCCGAUGCCCUAUUUAUUUUGGGAACUGUUCUCUGAACGUAAUUCUGUGACUAAAUGAGAGCGGCUUCUCUCCCGGACCUGGUGGCCCCAGCCUGCCCCCUCCCCACCCACACCCUGUGUUCCUGUGGCUCUUUGGAAAGAGAGCACAGGCUCAGGAUGGAAGAAUUUCGUUUUUGAGUUAAAUAAGUCCACUCGAAGUUCCAGAGGAGGGGCCUGGCAGAGACCGCGUUCUGAUCAUAGGGGCGUGGGCGAGGAAAACUCUGAUAAGCUCCACGGUGAAGGGGUGAAGGAAUCGGCAGUGGGAGAGCAGAGCGCCAAGGCAAAGGGAACGUUCACUUCACACCCGGGCAGCCCUCCUGUCGGGAGAUUCUGAGACAACGGAACAGACAGACAAUGGGAUUGAGGCCACCUCCGCCCGGAACCACCCUGGACAGCGCCCUUUAGGAAACAAUUGGAGGUGAGGGGAAAGCUCGGGAUAAACCCACGGCUCCAAGCUGCCCACGCAGGCUGACGGAUCCUGGAGGAUACACCCCUCUGAAGAGAAUAGGAGGCAACCAGGAAAAGGAUGAGAAACUAAGUGAAAUUCUAAAUUAGGGUUUCUUCAAAAUGGUGUCAUCACGGCAGGCACAUCAGACCACAAAAGUGAUCAGCACCACUUUCCAGCGCUACCUGGAGAAUCAAAGGGAGCCCUGAACAUAAAGACGGACACGGGCUCCCUUUACGUCCCGCCCAUGCCCAGGCCCCGCUCCCUCCCGCUUUUCCAGCCGCGCCGUGGCAGCUCCCCCAGCCCUCCGUCUCUACCCCGAGUUCAGACGGGCUCAUCCCAGAGGAGACGGGGCCAGGCCCCAAGGCCGCCAGCUGGCUGGUGGGAGCCCGGCUGCCCAGAGGCACAGAGAAAACGGACACCUGCUCAAAACCUCUCCGCCUUCUCCCUUCCCUGUGGUCAAUGCCUGUUUGUCACCUUGUGGAAGAACAGCGUGAACCGUCUUCUAGAUAAGCACAAGAUAUAAA
ensembl:lncRNA